GCCGUCUCAGAAAUUAUUAAUGUGAUUUCACUAAAUCAAGAUUCUCUGAUAAUCUCUUGCUUACAUUUUGAGGUCGCUCAGUGCCCUUAAUGUGAUUGCUUCUUCUCUGGCCGUCUCACUACCAGGUAUUGUUUGCUUUUUUUUUUGGUGAAUAUAAUCAUGCAUCAGUCAUUUUUUUUUGGUGAAACAUUAGUCAUUUUUUUG